GCCGUGGUUCCCUGUUUCAUAGGCGAGAAUCUUCCUAAACCGCGGGUCGCACGUUCAAUUCGUGUCGGGGGCACCA
rnacentral:tRNA from 1 species